rnacentral:rRNA from 1 species
AUACGGAGGGUGCAAGCGUUACUCGGAAUCACUGGGCGUAAAGCGCGCGCAGGCGGUCUUUUAAGUUGGAUGUGAAAGCCUACAGCUCAACUGUAGAACUGCAUCCAAAACUAUUAGACUAGAGUCUGGGAGGGGAAGAUGGAAUUAGUUGUGUAGGGGUAAAAUCCGUAGAGAUAACUGGGAAUACCAAAAGCGAAGGCGAUCUUCUGGAACAGUACUGACGCUGAGGCGCGAAAGCGUGGGGAGCAAACAGGAUUAGAAACCCCAGUAGUCC